rnacentral:tRNA from 1 species
UCCUUUUUAGUAUAGUGGUGAGUAUCCCCGCCUGUCACGCGGGAGACUACGGUUCGAUUCCCCGACGGGGAG